CAGCGGCGUAGCGUGGGUUGUCAGCACCCGGGGCAAGGCAAGUAAUUUGCGCCCCCUAACCCGGGGCAAGGCAAGUAAUUUGCGCCCCCUAACCCCUAACCUGCCGCCGCUGCCAGCUUCUUCUUGCUGCUGCCUGGGCUGGUCUGGUGUGGUUCUCUCCCGCGCUCAGCGCUGCGCUGGGCAGCCGCUGCACUGUCCCUCCCCCAGAUAGUCCUCGCUCUCUCUCCGCACCGCACGCCUGGCACCCACCCCCUCCACAGUGGGCGGCGACCCAGCGGCUCGGAUCGGAUUCGCACAGCCAGCACUGCAGUGAGAGAGAGUGAGUGAGCCAGGUAGGGGCAGAGAGCUGCGAGUGCGAGCGCGCCCCCCAGAUGUUGCGCCCGGUGCGGCCGGCCCCCCCUGCACCCCCCACGCUACGCCACUG